rnacentral:lncRNA from 10 species
CCGGGAGGUGGAGGUUGCAGUGAGCCGAGAUUGUGCCACUUGCCACUGCACUCUAGCCUGGCAACACAGCGAGACUCCAUUUCAAAAAACAUGUGUGUGUGUGUGUGUGUGUAUAAACUUUAAAUAGAAAAUGAAGAAAACUCGUUAAUAAGGGAUCAGUAAGAUUAAAAUCAGUUCAGGCCUGGUGCCCGGCAAUAUGGCUAUGUUUUUAAAAAACAUUCUUAUCUUUCCUUUUGUUGAGACGGAGUCUCGCUCUGCUGCCC